ensembl:lincRNA Dalir DNMT1 associated long intergenic non-coding RNA
UUUGUUUUUUAAAUCAAGAUUAUAGAUUUUGGGGAGAUGACUCAGGAGUUAAGAGCAUUUGCAACUCUCCAAGGAGGCUUGGAUUCAGUUCCUAGUACCCACAUGGUGGCUCACAAUCAUCUAUAACUUGAGUUUCAGGAAAUCCAAUACUCUCUUCUGACCUCUACAUAAACCAGGCAUGCACAUGAUGCACAUAAAUAUUGUACAGGCAAACACCGUCCCCCAGACACUCAAAAUACAUAAAAUAAAAAUAAGUAUUUUUUAAAAGUUGGAAUUUGGUAUGAUUAGCUUUAUAGCUUUAGCUAUUUAUAUUAGUUUUACGGCAACUUGACACUACCCAGAGUCAUUUUGGAAGAGGGAACCUCAGUUGAGAAAAAUCCUCCACCAUAUUGAUCUAUGAGCAAGCCAGUAAGCAGCACUCCUUCAUGGCCUCUGCAUCAGCUCCUGCUUCCAGGUUCCUGCCCUGGUUGAGUUCCUGCCUUGACUUUCCCUCAGUGAUAGAGUGUUCUUGGGUGUGUAGAUGAAGUAAACCCUCGCCUCCUAAACUGCCCUUGGUCAUGAUCUUUUAUCAUAGCAAUGGAACCCCUACUUAAGACAAUUAUCUUUGAAGCACAUAUUUUGACAUUUAGGCAUAUCAAUAAAUGAUUGAUGGUUAAUUUCUUAAAAUGCCCCUUGACCACAAAGACAGUGAAUUUUCUCCCUUGCUCCCUAGCAUAGAGUAUAGGUCUGAGCCAUCAGAUCUGGCUUGAGGUUCAAAGCUUGUGACCACCUGUUCCAAGGACAAAUGAGCUGCCUAGAACUCUUCCACUGGCCUGCCUGUAGCCGGGAAUGGUGGAGUUCCCUGUGACUGUGGGAUUCUAUAUGAACUACUGAUGAGACAUAAGCAAGUAAGGAAAGUUGAUCUUGGGAUCAACACUCAUCAAGAAUAAGAUGGAUCCCCCACUCUCUAGCUGUGCUUCCAGACAGGUUUGCUUCAGUGUGGCUUCAGCAAAGCCUUCCUAGUGGUCUACAGUAGAGAAUGCAAGAGUCCAUCCCUAGCCUGAACACUGCACACAGACACCAAUUAUGCUAAAAUAUUUAAUUUCAUUCCAUAAAUAAUUAAGCCUAAAUAAUAAUACCUAGAUAUAACUUGGAACUUGUGACAAUCUACCUGCCUCUGUCUGUGUGUACCAGGAUUAUAGGCCUGGGCACACAUUCUUCUUCAGGACUGAUUAUAAUACAUUUUGUAUAUUGAUUUAAAAAAAUGAUGCUUAGGUAGUUAUGGCCUGUGAGUAAUUCUAUAAAGUAGACUAAGUGGAUAUCAUCAGUCUAUACUCUAAGACAUUCCUUUAAUUUUUUAAAAUUUUUUUUUAAAGUUCUACUUUUUAAAGAUUCCUAGAGAGCCAGAUGGGUGAUGAAAAGCCAGGUUUCACAUGUAACACUAAUAUUGGGGGAAAAAAAACCUGACGCUAGAAAUUAUUUAGUUAUUCUGAAAGCUGUCACUUCUUGAAAGCAGAGUCAGAAUUAGAAAAGAAUUAACAGUGUAUCGUUGUGUUCUCACAUUUCCAAUGUGGCUGGUGAAUCAUGAAGCAAAAAUUUCCUCAAAACUGGAGCCCCAGAGUCUUAGUCUGAGCCCAUCCUCCUGCCUGAGAAUUUCCAAAUUGCCUAGUGAAGGAAAAGCUAUGUCCAUGGUCCCACCUGUUCCAAAGUCCCUUUGGAAAUCUGGGCAGAAGCAGGUUUGCUAGAGUCUUACUUAUGACAACCUGGGAAACAAAGAAGGCUCUUCAUACACAAGGGUGUGUAUCCACACAAGAGGCAGCAUCCUGAGGGAAACCUUCAAGAGCCUCCGACCCUGCAGUUAGCUGACUGUUUCCUGCCCUCCUUGGUCCAACUCGUUAUGGCCCCAGGUGUUCCUUCUUGCUGCUGAACUGCUGUCUCCACCAGCUGAGCCCACUCCUGUGGUCUGCACUCACUGCCCUGGCUGCAGGUUGAACAGGGUCAGGCUACUUCUCAGAUGCUUCCCACCAGCCGCAGUGAACUCCCAUUUUGACAUGAAGCCAUUUAAAUGGAAAUCCAGUUUUACAAAGCUCAAGUGACUGGUAAUGAAGAUGUGAAUGAUGCUUAUGAGAUUUUUAUUUAAUUUUAAAUCAAUUGUGUAUUCUAAUUCAUUAAUAAAGGGGAAAGGAAAGAAUAC